CCUACGGGAGGCAGCAGUAAGGAAUAUUGGUCAAUGGACGAAAGUCUGAACCAGCCAUGCCGCGUGAAGGAUUAAGGCCCUCUGGGUUGUAAACUUCUUUUAUCUGGGACGAAAAAAGGGUAUUCUUACUCACUUGACGGUACCAGAGGAAUAAGCACCGGCUAACUCCGUGCCAGCAGCCGCGGUAAUACGGAGGGUGCAAGCGUUAUCCGGAUUUACUGGGUUUAAAGGGUGCGUAGGUGGGCUUGUAAGUCAGUGGUGAAAUCUCCGGGCUUAACCCGGAAACUGCCAUUGAUACUAUAGGUCUUGAAUUAUCUGGAGGUAAGCGGAAUAUGUCAUGUAGCGGUGAAAUGCUUAGAUAUGACAUAGAACACCAAUUGCGAAGGCAGCUUACUACGGAUAUAUUGACACUGAGGCACGAAAGCGUGGGGAUCAAACAGGAUUAGAUACCCUGGUAGUCCACGACCUAACGAUAGAUACUACGACAUCAGCGAUACACUGUUGGUUGUCGUG
rnacentral:rRNA from 1 species